rnacentral:pre_miRNA from 1 species
CCCCCACCCUUGUGUGUAGGACCCCAAAAGAUCACCAUUAAAGUUGGCACGGAUCUCUAGAAAAGUUAUCACAUAGGUGUGAGACUUGACUUUUCUAGAGAUCCGUACCAACUUUAAUGGUGAUCAUUUGGGGUUCUACACACAUGGGUGGGGG